GACGAACGCUGGCGGCGUGCUUAACACAUGCAAGUCGAACGGAAAGGCCCUGCUUUUGUGGGGUGCUCGAGUGGCGAACGGGUGAGUAACACGUGAGUAACCUGCCCUUGACUUUGGGAUAACUUCAGGAAACUGGGGCUAAUACCGGAUAGGAGCUCCUGCUGCAUGGUGGGGGGUGGAAAGUUUCGGCGGUUGGGGAUGGACUCGCGGCUUAUCAGCUUGUUGGUGGGGUAGUGGCUUACCAAGGCGUUGACGGGUAGCCGGCCUGAGAGGGUGACCGGCCACAUUGGGACUGAGAUACGGCCCAGACUCCUACGGGAGGCAGCAGUGGGGAAUAUUGCACAAUGGGCGGAAGCCUGAUGCAGCAACGCCGCGUGCGGGAUGACGGCCUUCGGGUUGUAAACCGCUUUCGCCUGUGACGAAGCGUGAGUGACGGUAAUGGGUAAAGAAGCACCGGCUAACUACGUG
rnacentral:rRNA from 1 species